UACAGAGGUCCCGAGCGUUGUUCGGAUUCACUGGGGCGUAAAGGGUGACGGUAGGUGGGCAUGGAAAAGUUUUGAUGUGAAAAGCUCAGGGCUUAACCCUGAAAAUGGCAUUGAAUACUGCCGUGCUGGAGGUUUUGGGAGGGGGGGACUGGAAUUCUUGGUGUAGCAGUGAAAAUGCGUAGAUAUCAAGAGGAACACCAGUGGCGAAGGCGAGUCCCCUGGACAAACACCUGACACUGAGGCACGAAAAGCUAGGGGGGAGCAAAACAGG
rnacentral:rRNA from 1 species